AUUAACAUGGAUAAGUUUUAUUCAGAAAUCAGAAGCAGACUUCUGCGUUUAUUUACUAAUACAAUGCCAAGAAGUUAUGGAUUUCAAGAAAAUAAACUAAGCCCUCCUAAAUCGGAAAGGAAAAGCAGAGCCAUCCAAGGCCAACAAUCUCUUCCCGUUCUCAAUCAAAAUACCAGCAGAACCACAUCUUGGCCUGCCGCAAUUAGGGGCAGUGCAGGACUCACCAGGGCACCAUACCAACUCAUAGAGACCUCCAUUGUUGUCAAUCCUGAAGUAACUCUGCUCUCCUCCUGUCACUAUAAAUCUCCUUGAAGUCUCUGCAUCCUCCUCACCUACCCUCCAUGCUGUGGAUUGGCCACAGAUGGAGACAGCUGAAAAUGCAACGCUAAAUUCCCUGCUCUCCCUGAUGAUACCGUCGUUUUGGGCAGCAAAUGGCGUGAAGGUGACUCGAAGGCCUUGUGAGACAACGGUUGAGAGAGGUUCCUGACCAACGUAUAAUGGGCAGGAGUCAGUGCGAUUCACCAGAGUUAAACCGCCAGCGGUAUCAGUUGCAGCUGGAAGCACGUAGUAUUCUACGCCGCUUCUAAGAGGCUGGCCGUUGGUGUCUAGCACUGCUGGGGUUUGAGCCACAGUGGACAUGGCCAUCAGAAGCCAUACGAAGCUUAAGCUUCCAAUCAAUUUCAACAUGGUCGCUAAAGAAGGUUAAAGUAACUGGAAUCGAAUUGAUGAUUAAUGGGUGAAUAUGGGCUUCUGAAGCAAAGGGUACGUGAGGUAAGGUAUUUAUAGGGUACGGUACGG
rnacentral:misc_RNA from 1 species